AGGAGUCAUACCCACCACGUUAUGAGCUGAACUUCAAUUAUCCUCAAAAAGCAGAAGCUUAAGUUAAAAUCAAAGGAAAAAGAACAAAGCAAUCUCCUGCCAGAACCAGCUGCACAGGGCACAGAGAUGAGCUCCAAAGUCAGACUGGUCAGAAGCACAGGAAGUGACCGAGGCGCAAGACUGUUAAGUCUUCCAAUCACACAGUCCCAAAUUUACCAAUAUCUAAAUCUUGACAUCGGAGGGAAUUAUAAGUUAAAUCAUCACCGUCUCAAAGGAGAGAAC